AUUCCUCGUAGACGGGAUGGUUGUGAGCGGGACAGAAACUCCACCACAAGGGUUCUGGGGGUACUACAGGGACUAAAGGAAGCAGUGUGAUCAGUGUGAAAGCAGCAAGGCCAUGAUUUAUUUCUUGGGCGUGUAGUUUUCUCCCGAGGCCUCUGCUUGGUUAUUUUACCCAGCAUCGGUGCCAAAGGAGAUUUCCCCAAAGGGAAAAGUACUGCAGUGCUCGACGCAUUACAGUCCUUUCCCGUUUGCAAGCUCUCCCACACAUUCCUUCUUCUGUUCCCAAAUCACAGGAGACGACGAGAAAGAGAACAGACCACCUGUCCAGAUAAUUUGCCUUUGGAGUCUGCAGGGCUGGUGAAGGCAUCCUGAGAUGGGGGAGGCCCCUGGGGACCUCCACAGUCAGGGCUCCCACCUCCUCUCCCACACCGCUCUGCCUCAUGCCCUGGGUUGCCUGUCUGACUGUCUCAAGACUGGGGGUUCUCCGGUGAGCAGAUGGCUGCUUAGCGUCUGAGGGGCAGACACCAUGCCGUGGUGACAGCGUGAUCCCUUGAUGGAAAGGCCACCAGAACCACUGGUAGUGCAGCUGGACACUGCGGAGCCCUGGGACCACACCCGCUGCCUCCCUCCAGACUCCUUAGGUCUAUGCCGUGUGCCUGGCUUUUUCCAACCACUCCGAAUUGAUCAUUUCCUAAUGACCACAUGGCUCAGAAACUCACAGCACAUCCUUCUAGGGGCCUCUUUCUCCCAAGUCCUCCCAGGGACUUGGCAGCUUCAUCUCUAAGGCCUGCAGAGGCUGUGGCUAUGGCUGUCCAUUGUUCUCGCUCCUUGGCUUCAGUUCAGAGCCAUCAAAUCCCUGCAGCUCGCACACUGGAACAUUCAUAUUUUGGAUAAGGCCUUUGCUGUCAGUGGAAUACAGCAACACACAAGACAGACACAGUUGCCUUCCCGCUGAGGCUGGACGUCUACAAAGAAACUCUGGACAGCUAUUUGCCAAGGCGAUGGGCACUACAGAUGAGACGCACAAAUGAUAUGACUCAUGGGUGACGCUGGGCAAACCUCGGUGGUUGAGUCCUGUUGGGUUUUCUCAUAGGAGGUGCUUCCAGGAACAUUCUUGUGCAAGACCGUGUGAGAGUAUCUCCAAGAUAGACAAGUGGAAGUGAAAUUCUGGGCCAUAGUGGAUGAACACUUGCCAAGAGGUGUUGACAAAUUAGUCUUAAAUGAACCUGUACUGCAUUUUAAGGCCUGGGAGCUCUUAGUGGCCCCAUCCUUUCCAAAGCUUGUGUGGUUGGCCGAGUAAUGUCUUCCAAGAUGUCCAAUUCCCAAUCCCUGGAACUUCUGAAUGCUAGCCUGUAUGACAAAAGAGACUCUGAAGCUGGGAUUAAGUUAAGAAUCUUGAGUGGGGAGAUUAUCCUGGAUAAUCCAAAUGGGUCCUUAUAAGAAAGAGGCAUGAGAUCAGAGAACCAGAAGGUGAUGUGAGGAUGGAAUCUAAGAGAGAGUUGAGGAUGCUGUGGCUGCUGGCUUUGAAGGUGCAGGAAGGGCCAUGAGCCAAGGAAUGUGAGAAAUGGAGCUGGAGUUGCCAGAAAAGGCAAGAACAGGGAAUCUUCCUGAGAGGCUGCAGAAGGAGCCAGCUGUGCAACACCUUGACUUUAGCCCAGCGAGACUGUUUUCCAACUUCUGAGCUCCAAAACUAAAUUGGAGGCAGAAGGUUACCAACAUUGCCUGGUGUCCAGCCAGGAGGUAGAGCGUGGUGGCAUCCAGAACCUUCCUCCAACUCCUGCCUGGCGUGGUUUUUAUUCAUCUUUGUAUUCCCAAGAAACUUCUCAGUGUCUCAGGAGUGUUAGGCACUCAAGCUUUCCAAGGUGAAAGUGUUGGACACUCUUUCUUCAUCUCAGAUUUAAUCAACUAAGAAUGCUGCAAAUUGAACACCAGUCCACAAAACUCAGGAAUACAUGAAAAGCAUUGUGCCUUAUUUUUAACUAACUCAAAUUCUAUGUCAGUCUCCCUUUUAUGCUGGAUGUUGGCGCUAAAUCUCAGUGGGUUCCUCAUUCUGCCAGACCUGUGUCCAGUUUGGGGGCUUCACAUAGAGCCACCCCAUCACAGGAGAGGGAAGGGUCUUGCUCUUGGUUGCCAUCACUCCACCCUCUUGUCUUCCGAGCUUUGAUGUUCACUUUCCUUUUCACCACUCGGAAGCUUCCUGCCAUGAUACAUUGAGACCUCAAUGUUAAUGCCAAUUGGGGUUUGGGGUUCUCAUAAACUCAGAAGUCCAGGAAAAUCGCCUGCUGCCUCCCACAACACUCUGAGGGCAUUCUGGAAUCCUACCACUUACCUGGAGCCUGCUGGCCUCAACUGUUUUGAAGUCUGUGUCUGGGCCAUGCAGGUAAAUGGGAGGAUGUUCUGUGGCCAUAAAAAUACCCGAAGUCCCACCUAAAGUUGAUGCAGGGUCUUCUGCAUUUCAUUGCAAAAUUGUUCUAUCAUUUCUAUAGUUUUCAGCCUACAGUCAGGGGCCAGGACUUUGCACCCUUGGUAAACCUCAAUCUCUUCUCCUUCCUGGCUUCUACUCCUUUCUCCCUCAAUCCCAAAUCAAGGCCCUUGAUUGUCUGGAGGUAGGAAAGCCUGGUUCUGGCUCAUGAUAUAGUCUACAUCAUAGCCUUUGUCAUCUCAUGGAUUCACUCAACAACCGUGUGUGGAUGGGGCCACCCAAUAUGUGCCAGGAGUUGAGGACACGCAGGGUUAUGAUGAUGAAAUAGAUAAGGGGCCCACACUCACGGACCCUGCAGGACAGUGGAGCUGUGGACCCAGCAUGCGAGUAAAGACCCAGUGAGCUCACCAGACAGAUCAUUUAAAUCAGGUGAUAGGACAGUGAAGGGCGGGGGCUGCAUUAGUUUUGGUGGCAAGAGAAGGAUUAUCUUCUGAGAGGAUCCACAAAGUAAAGAGGGCCGGUAUGACUGGGUAGAGUGAGGACCGUGGUUGAGGCAGAAGAUGGAGCUCUUUAUUGAGCUCUAGGGAGCCCGUCGGAUGGGACCUACGGGGCUUGAGGGAGCCCAUCGGAUGGGACCUACGGGGCUUGAGGGAGCCCAUCGGAUGGGACCUACGGGGCUUGAGGGAGCCCAUCGGAUGGGACCUACGGGGCUUGAGGGAGCCCAUAGGAUGGGACCUACGGGGCUUGGCGGACUUAAUUUUAAAUGUGGAAGAAGCCAUUGCAGAGCCUGAACCUGAGGUGUGGCAUGGUUCGAGUUACUUCAAACCAAAUUUAUUGAAAUCUCUUUGCAUAAAAUGCAAUGCGUAGAUCUUAAGAGUAUAGUUCAAUGAGAUUUGAUAAAUGUAUGCACCAGUGUAACAACUCCUCCAGUCAAGAUAAAGAAACGUCCCUCACUAUUUCCUCAUGCCCCUUCAUAGUCAAUAUCUGAUCCACUCAGCCUAGGCAACCAUUGAUCUGCUUUUAUCACCAUAGAUAUUUGGGUAUGAGUCUUUGUAUGAUCAGCUAUUUUUAUGUUGCUUGGGUAAAUAUUUAGGAAUAGAACUGCUGAGGCCAAGGAUAGAAUAUUUAACUUGAUUGCCGACUGUUUUUCCCAAGUGGUUGUACCACGUUCUGCCUCCACCAGCAUGUGUGAGUUUCCAGGGCUUCUUGUCCUUGCCAGAUACCAGGUGGUUGCAUGCCGUGUCCCAGUGGCUGUUGGGAAUCACAGUAGCUGGGCCCAAGAUGACUCUGGAGGACUUUACAUUUGCGCCCAUCUGUGGGUCCUCCUAUGCCAGUGUUUCCCAAAGCAUGGGCCAUGCGCAUUAUUCUUUCCAAAAUGAUGUCAUAUGGUGCAUAGGAAUGUCAUGGAAUACAAUGGAAUCACUCUGGAAGGAACUUUUCCCUUCUCAGGUGUUGUUUGAAUAUUCCUGAUGUGAUCGAGGAGAUUAACUGCUACUUAACAUCUCUGCACCGCUUGCUAAACUCCUUGUUAAAAUUAUGCUUUUUAUUUUGAAGGAGUUCUAGAUUCACAUGCGUUGUAAGAAAUAACAGAGAGAUUGCAUGUACUCUUCACCCAGUUUCUCCCAAUGGUAACAUCUUGCGAAACUAUGGUGCAAAAUCAAAACCAAAUCUCUUUUUAUAACAAAGAGAGGGUUCCCACCUCAAGCUCAGAUCCUUCCCUGUGUAGCUAGAACUUAGUAACAGUGUUUUAUUUUAUUAUAUUCAGUUUCAAGGGUUACAUUCUAUUUAUAACAAAUGAUACUGGUUUUCCCUUUACAAUAAUGAUAAAAUUUUAUUACUGAGUAAAUUGAUUUAUGUUUAAAAAUUGAGUUAUUUUAAAGAAUAUAUUAUAUAAAUGAUUGUGCUAGCUGUAUGAAAAUGAAAGUGAAUGAUACA
rnacentral:lncRNA from 1 species